rnacentral:rRNA from 1 species
AGACGGCAUCGUUUAUUAUUGAAAACUCCGGUGGAUAGAGAUGGGCACGCGCAAGAUUAGAUAGUUGGUGAGGUAACGGCUCACCAAGUCAGCGAUCUUUAGGGGGCCUGAGAGGGUGAUCCCCCACACUGGUACUGAGACACGGACCAGACUCCUACGGGAGGCAGCAGUGAGGAAUAUUGGACAAUGGGUUAGCGCCUGAUCCAGCCAUCCCGCGUGAAGGACGACUGCCCUAUGGGUUGUAAACUUCUUUUGUAUAGGGAUAAACCUACUCUCGUGAGGGUAGCUGAAGGUACUAUACGAAUAAGCACCGGCUAACUCCGUGCCAGCAGCCGCGGUAAUACGGAGGGUGCAAGCGUUAUCCGGAUUUAUUGGGUUUAAAGGGUCCGUAGGCUGAUGUGUAAGUCAGUGGUGAAAUCUCACAGCUUAACUGUGAAACUGCCAUUGAUACUGCAUGUCUUGAGUGUUGUUGAAGUAGCUGGAAUAAGUAGUGUAGCGGUGAAAUGCAUAGAUAUUACUUAGAACACCAAUUGCGAAGGCAGGUUACUAAGCAACAACUGACGCUGAUGGACGAAAGCGUGGGGAGCGAACAGGAUUAGAUACCCUGGUAGUCCACGCCGUAAACGAUGCUAACUCGUUUUUGGGUUUUCGGAUUCAGAGACUAAGCGAAAGUGAUAAGUUAGCCACCUGGGGAGUACGAACGCAAGUUUGAAACUCAAAGGAAUUGACGGGGGCCCGCACAAGCGGUGGAUUAUGUGGUUUAAUUCGAUGAUACGCGAGGAACCUUACCAAGGCUUAAAUGGGAAAUGACAGGUUUAGAAAUAGACUAUUCUUCGGACAUUUUUCAAGGUGCUGCAUGGUUGUCGUCAGCUCGUGCCGUGAGGUGUUAGGUUAAGUCCUGCAACGAGCGCAACCCCUGUCACUAGUUGCCAUCAUUAAGUUGGGGACUCUAGUGAGACUGCCUACGCAAGUAGAGAGGAAGGUGGGGAUGACGUCAAAUCAUCACGGCCCUUACGCCUUGGGCCACACACGUAAUACAAUGGCCGGUACAGAGGGCAGCUACACAGCGAUGUGAUGCAAAUCUCGAAAGCCGGUCUCAGUUCGGAUUGGAGUCUGCAACUCGACUCUAUGAAGCUGGAAUCGCUAGUAAUCGCGCAUCAGCCAUGGCGCGGUGAAUACGUUCCCGGGCCUUGUACACACCGCCCGUCAAGCCAUGGAAGUCUGGGGUACCUGAAGUCGGUGA